rnacentral:rRNA from 1 species
UACGAAGGGGGCUAGCGUUGCUCGGAAUUACUGGGCGUAAAGCGCACGUAGGCGGAUCGUUAAGUCGGGGGUGAAAUCCUGGAGCUCAACUCCAGAACUGCCUUCGAUACUGGCGAUCUAGAGUCCGGAAGAGGUGAGUGGAACUCCUAGUGUAGAGGUGGAAUUCGUAGAUAUUAGGAAGAACACCAGUGGCGAAGGCGGCUCACUGGUCCGGUACUGACGCUGAGGUGCGAAAGCGUGGGGAGCAAACAGG